UGGUGAGCGUGGAUAGCCACUU
rnacentral:misc_RNA from 1 species